rnacentral:rRNA from 1 species
CGGACGGGUGAGUAAUGUCUGGGAAACUGCCUGAUGGAGGGGGAUAACUACUGGAAACGGUAGCUAGUACCGCAUAACGUCGCAAGACCAAAGAGGGGGACCUUAGGGCCUCUUGCCAUCGGAUGUGCCCAGAUGGGAUUAGCUAGUAGGUGGGGUAACGGCUCACCUAGGCGACGAUCCCUAGCUGGUCUGAGAGGAUGACCAGCCACACUGGAACUGAGACACGGUCCAG